rnacentral:lncRNA from 1 species
UUUUUUUGAGCUCGAGCUCGACUCGAUGACAUAUUCGCGAGCUCGAGCUCGACUCGAUUAAGCUCGAUUGUGGAGAGCAGUUGCGCGGGGUUGGGAAAAGGAGAGCAGUAGUGCAGUGGAAGGAGAGCAGUCGCGCCGGGCUGGGAAAGGGCAGUUGGUGCUGGUAGAUGUUGUUGCUCUCGCGCCGGCCGCCGGGCUAGGAAAAGGAGAGCCAAAGGUGGCGGCACGGCGGCUCUGUUGCUGCACUGCUGCUGCUGUCGCGCGCCGGUCGCCGAUCAGACUCAGCCGAGAGCUAAAGGCGGCGGGCCGGCGGCUCCGUGCUGCUCUGGUGCUGCUGCUGUCGCGUGCGCGCCGGGGUGCCGCGUCACCGUCGCCGGUCAGAUUCAGUCGAGAGAGAGAUGAGAGAUUGGGGAAAUGAGAGCUAAAGGUGGCGGGCUAGCGGCUCCGUGCUGCUCUGCUACUGCUGCUGUCUCGUGCGCGCCGGAGUGCGCGUCGCCGGUCAGAUUCAGCCGAGAGAUAGAGAGAGAUGAGAGAUUGGGGAUUGGCCGAUUGGGGUUGGGAACUUGGGGCGGCUGAUAGCUUAGGAUUUAGGGUUUCAAAUUCAAGUGAAUUCAAAUGCAGAUUUUGUUAUAAUGGGCUUAAAGGUUUGGGCCAUUUUGUGUAUUUUAAAUAUAUUUAAUUUUGGCCCAAUAUAUAAUAUAUUAUAUAAUAAUUGCUUGAGCUCGAUUAGGCUCGCGAGCCUAACGAGUCGAGUAUCACGAAAC